GACGAACGCUGGCGGCGUGCUUAACACAUGCAAGUCGAGCGGUAAGGCCCUUUCGGGGGUACACGAGCGGCGAACGGGUGAGUAACACGUGGGUGACCUGCCCUCAGCUCUGGGAUAAGCCUGGGAAACCGGGUCUAAUACUGGAUAUGACUCCAUGACGCAUGUUGUGGGGUGGAAAGCCUUGUGCGGCUGAGGAUGGGCCCGCGGCCUAUCAGCUUGUUGGUGGGGNGA
rnacentral:rRNA from 1 species